UGGGGAAUAUUGGGCAAUGGGGGCAACCCUGACCCAGCGACGCCGCGUGAGGGAAGACGGCCUUCGGGUUGUAAACCUCUUUUGUACGGGAAGAAGGAAGUGACGGUACUGUACGAAUAAGUCCCGGCUAACUACGUGCCAGCAGCCGCGGUAAUACGUAGGGGACGAGCGUUGUCCGGAAUUACUGGGCGUAAAGGGCGCGCAGGCUGUGCUGCAAGUCAGCUGUGAAAUGUCUGGGCUUAACCCGGGCAUGCGGUUGAGACUGCAGUGCUGGAGUGCUGUAGAGGCAAGUGGAAUUCCCAGUGUAGCGGUGAAAUGCGUAGAUAUUGGGAAGAACACCGGUGGCGAAGGCGACUUGCUGGGCAG
rnacentral:rRNA from 1 species